rnacentral:lncRNA from 1 species
AUGCGUGUUUGGAUUGUAUGGUCAUAAUUUUAGGAGGCGUUUACUUCAAAUUAUUCUGACAAGAUUAUAAAUAAUCAAUUCUGUUAGUACUAUUAUAUUUAGUUUAUCCGAUAUAUAAUUUAUUUGAGAGUCCGGCUGCUAUGCUAUCAAUAGCAUUAAGUAUUUUGUACUAUCAAGUUUUCUACCGUUAGAUUAACUCCGUUGAUUAUUUUUAUCCGUUAGAUUAUACUAUCCAACCAACUACCCACUCAACCCUACGGGGCCCACAUCAUCAUAACCGCACAUCUUUUAAUCCAAGGGCAGAAAACUUAAUAGCACCAAGUCAUUGGUGCUAUUAAUAGUAUUCCAACCUAGUUAUUUAUUUGAUAUU